rnacentral:lncRNA from 1 species
AACUAAAAGAAAGGUCGGACCAUUGUCGCAAACCUAAACCUAAUUUUUUUCCCUCUUUUUUCUAAGAUCGACAUCAUAUCGACCAACGUUAAUCUAUGCAAUGAUUUAAAGAGAUUGAAAAAAUAAAUACUAUAUACUCCCUCUGUGUCAAAUUACUUGUCGUUUUAGAAGGAAAAAAAUUUAAGAAAGUGUAUUUUUGCACUUAAUUUCCUAUUAUACCCUUAUUUUAAUUCACCA